UCAGUAACUCUCAGUGUCUGUCUUGUCUUUACAGGAGCAGCCCCAGGGAGACCACUAACAGUAUGUGAGGCUGUUUGUCCUCCUGUCUGUCUCUCUCACCUGUUUCUCCUCUCCUGUCUGUCUCUCUCACACCUGUCUCCUCUCGUCUCUCUCUGCCUGUCUCUCUCUCACCUGUCUCUCCUCUCCCUGUCUGUCUGUCUCUCUCACCUGUCUCCCUCUCCUGCCUGCCUGUCUCUCUCUCACCUGUCUCCCUCUCCUGCUUGUCUGUCUGUCUCUCACCUGUCUCCCUCUCUCUGUGUCUGUGUUUCUCUGCCAGGCUCUGUCAUGUAUGAAAACUCUGAGGGGCUGAAGGAUCACAUGAUGUACAUGAACCUGCCUGCUGGUCACCAGGUCAGUCUGUCACACUGUAGCCACACUGACCGCUGUCUAACUGUCCACACACCUGUCUCUCCUCUCCUGCCUGUCUCUCUCUCACACUGUAGCCACACUGACCACUGUCUAACUGUCCACACUCCUGUCUCUCCUCUCCUGCCUGUCUCUCUCUCACACUGUGCUCACUGUCAGCUGUCUGACUCUCCACACACCUGCCUGUCUGCAGACGAGAGGUCUAUCAGGCUCCAGCUGGUUUUGUGGUGAUCAUGAGAUAAGAGACCCAGCCUCUCAGACAAUGGGCUGAGUGUGAGCAGGUUGUUCAU
rnacentral:lncRNA from 1 species